GACGUAGGAGGCGAGCGUUGUCCGGAGUUAUUGGGCGUAAAGGGCGCGCAGGCGGCCACGCACGUCCGUUGUGAAAUCGCUCGGCUCAACUGGGCGGGGUCAGCGGAUACGGCGUGGCUGGAGCAAGCUAGGGGGCAAUGGAAUUCCCGGUGUAGUGGUGGAAUGCGUAGAUAUCGGGAGGAACACCAGUGGCGAAGGCGGGUCUCUGGACAGUUCCUGACGCUGAGGCACGAAGGUCAGGGGAGCAAACGGG
rnacentral:rRNA from 1 species